AUGGCCGACGCGGAUCAAAGUGUAGUAUCUGUUCUUAUCAGCUUAAUUUCUGGUACGGGUUGUAUUUAAACCCAAGAUAUUAAACUUCUUUUUGCAAGUUGGCGGAGUGCUUGAAGCCUAGCUGCUUCAUUUCAGCCACGGGUUGGCCCAUUUUUGCACUAUCUUCGGGAUUAUUGGUCUACGGACA